rnacentral:misc_RNA from 1 species
UGGGCCGGCGUUCUCACGGCCUUGAUCGGAGUUCGCUCAUGAGCGUUUCCGCGUGAGAAGCCUACGCACUAACGGGUAAAUGUCGGCACCUAUCUCGGACCGUCCUGCGUGUAGCCACCCCGUCUGCCGCACAGUGUAUGUCCGAGCAUGCCCCCUUCGGGGGGUAGGCUUAAUGAACUCCGGCGCAGGAGUCACCGACCAACUCUACUCUGUUAACCAGAGGCCGCGAGGCCGCAAAAAGUACUAUUCUAAGCGGUGGAUCACUCGGCUCGCAGGUCGAUGAAGAACGCAGCCAACUGCGGUAAUUAAUGCGAAUUGCAGACACAUUGAGCAUCGACACUUCGAACGCACAUUGCGGCACCAGGUUCAUUCCUGGUGCCACGUCUGUCUGAGGGUCGCGAUUCUGACAGCUCUUCGUACCCGAACGAUCCGGGACGUGCCAGGGGAGCCUUUGUCUGAAGCCAACGGCAGCUUCCGCCGGACGCUUAGGACAGCUCUUCAGUGGAUAGACAGCCAACAGAAUUUCGUUGGCAGACCUGGUCCCUGUCGGGGCUCGAAGGAGAAACGACUACUCUCCAAGAGCCUUGUAGGAUCAACUAUCCGACCUCAGAUCAGACGUGAUAACCUGCUGAACUUAAGCAUAUCACUAGGCGGAGGAAAG